rnacentral:snRNA from 1 species
AUACUUACCUGGCAGGGGAGAUACCAUGAUCAUGAAAGUGGUUUUCCCAGGGUGAGGCUCAUCCAUUGCACUUUGGAUGUGCUGAUCCCUGUGAUUUCCCCAAAUGUGGGGAAAUCAACUGCAUAAUUUGUGGUAUUGGAGGACUGUGUUUGUGUUUCCCCCUG